AUUGAACGCUGGCGGAAUGCCUUACACAUGCAAGUCGAACGGCAGCGCGGACCGAGGUCUGGUGGCGAGUGGCGAACGGGUGAGUACUCUAUGGGAACGUGCAUAGUUGUGGGGGAUAUCGUAGUGAAAAUUAUUCUCAUAUCGCAUACGAUCUAUGGAGGAAAGCGGGGGAUCGCAAGACCUCGCGCGAGUGGAGCGGACGAUAUCAGAUUAGGUAGUUGGUGGGGUAAAGGCCCACCAAGCCAACGAUCUGUAGCUGGUCUGAGAGGACGACCAGCCACACUGGAACUGAGACACGGUCCAGACUCCUACGGGAGGCAGCAGUGGGGAAUUUUGGACAAUGGGCGAAAGUCUGAUCCAGCCAUUCCGCGUGCAGGAUGAAGGCCCUCGGGUUGUAAACUGCUUUUGUACAGAACGAAAAGGUUUCUACUAAUACUAGGAGCUCAUGACGGUACUGUAAGAAUAAGCACCGGCUAACUACGUGCCAGCCGCCGCCGUAA
rnacentral:rRNA from 1 species